CAAGACACUGAGUGAUCCAGAACAGGUAGACAACCGGUAAAACGUAUAUACGGUGGUCGAGCAUGUUACCGGGCUAAAACGUUGCAUGUUUCCAACAUAUGUAUGCAUGUAUGUUGGUACGUUAGUUGUGUUCUUGACUUCAUUUCCUCAGGACAGUUCUUUGUAAGUUCACUCAUAAGGGGGGUCAAGGAUUCGGAACACGGUCGUGAAACGUCAGGAUUACCGAAAAAGCAGUGUCGAGUUUUGCGGUCAGACGAUGCUUGUGCUGUUUAAGAAUUUCUCGUCGUUUAUUAUUUGCUUUAAAGAAAUCUAUCUUGUUACUGCUGCUGCUGCUGCUGCUGCUGCUACUACUUGUCGUUGUUCACGAAUGGAACACAACUCUUCUUCCUUCGUGUUUUACGUUGCCCCGGGGCUAGAACGCGGGAGCCUGGAAACGGAUCUUGAGAAGCAACGGGGACCCAGGACCGUAUCUAGAUCUUCUACCUGAACAAUACAUUUGCGCGUGUGUCUAUAAAAUAAAUAUUUUCAUCGGUCAUAUUUUAAUGUACAGACAUGUACAAAAAAAAAAACAAGGUAGAAAAAUCUGAAUACGUCUGUCUUCGAUUAAAAAAUGUGUGAACAAUUUAUAAAGGAA